rnacentral:rRNA from 1 species
UAAGGAAUAUUGGUCAAUGGGCGGAAGCCUGAACCAGCCAUGCCGCGUGCAGGAUGACUGCCCUAUGGGUUGUAAACUGCUUUUGUCCAGGAAUAAACCUAGAUACGUGUAUCUAGCUGAAUGUACUGGAAGAAUAAGGAUCGGCUAACUCCGUGCCAGCAGCCGCGGUAAUACGGAGGAUCCGAGCGUUAUCCGGAUUUAUUGGGUUUAAAGGGUGCGUAGGCGGCCUAUUAAGUCAGGGGUGAAAUACGGUGGCUCAACCAUCGCAGUGCCUUUGAUACUGAUGGGCUUGAAUCCAUUUGAAGUGGGCGGAAUAAGACAAGUAGCGGUGAAAUGCAUAGAUAUGUCUUAGAACUCCGAUUGCGAAGGCAGCUCACUAAGCUGGUAUUGACGCUGAUGCACGAAAGCGUGGGGAUCGAACAGGAUUAGAUACCCUGGUAGUCCACGCCCUAAACGAUGAUAACUCGAUGUUGGCGAUAGACAGCCAGCGUCCAAGCGAAAGCGUUAAGUUAUCCACCUGGGGAGUACGCCCGCAAGGGUGAAACUCAAAGGAAUUGACGGGGUCAU